GGAUGCGAUCAUACCAGCACUAAAGCACCGGAUCCCAUCAGAACUCCGAAGUUAGGCGUGCUUGGGUGAGAGUAGUACUAGGAUGGGUGACCUCCUGGGAAGUCCUCGUGUUGCAUUCC
rnacentral:rRNA from 1 species